rnacentral:misc_RNA from 1 species
UAUUCGCCCACCAACUGUUCGACACAAUGCCUCAACCAAACCCGUAAAGUUGAUACACCUACUAUUGUUUCACCGGACAACUCAUGGUGUUGUCCUGCUUCUAAAUCACCUUCGCCGUCGCCGACGCAACCCAUUUCAUCCUGUUCCUCUUCCAUUUCGGAUAAUACCAAGAUCCGAUACUCGCCGACGACGUUUCCUCGAGUUAUGGAAUCUAUCGGUACCCUUUACGGCGGCGGUGGUGGAGGAGGUGGUACUCCGAUCCCAAAUAACAACACCCACGA